CCUUUGGGUGGGUACUCGAGUGGCGAACGGGUGAGUAACACGUGGGUGACCUGUCCCUGGCUCUGGGAUAACCGUUGGAAACGGCGGCUAAUACCGGAUGUGACUGCUGGAUGCAUGUUCAGUGGUGGAAAGCUUUGGCGGCUGGGGUGGGGCUCGCGGCCUAUCAGCUGGUUGGUGGGGUGAUGGCCUACCAAGGCGGUGACGGGUAGCCGGCCUGAGAGGGCGGUCGGUCACAUUGGGACUGAGAUACGGCCCAGACUCCUACGGGAGGCAGCAGUGGGGAAUUUUGCACAAUGGGCGGAAGCCUGAUGCAGCGACGCCGCGUGAGGGAUGACGGCUUUCGGGUUGUAAACCUCUUUUGUUCGCGACGAAGCCGGUCGUGUUCGGUCGGUGACGGUAGUGUUCGAAUAAGCGCCGGCUAACUACGUGCCAGCAGCCGCGGUAAGACGUAGGGCGCGAGCGUUGUCCGGAUUUAUUGGGCGUAAAGGGCUCGUAGGCGGCUCGUCGCGUCUGUCGUGAAAAGCCAUGGCUUAACUGUGGUCGUGCGGUGGAUACGGGCGGGCUUGAGGCAAGUAGGGGAGACUGGAAUUCUACGUGUAGCGGUGAAAUGCGCAGAUAUGUGGAGGAACACCGGUGGCGAAGGCGGGUCUCUGGGCUUGUGCUGACGCUGAGGAGCGAAAGCGUGGGGAGCGAACAGGAUUAGAUACCCUGGUAGUCCAU
rnacentral:rRNA from 2 species